UGGUCGCCCCCCUGUGGCGAGGGCGGGUGCAGGGCCCCCGGGGCGGGAAGGGGGUUGUCAUGGAAACGCCUCCCCGGCUGGGCUGUUCCCAAUGGCGUCCUCCCCCUCCGGUGGUGGUGGGGGGGUGUCCCUCCCCGUGGAAGCCGCUGCACCCCCGCGGGGCUGGGACCUGUCCUGAGCCGGCUGGGCACGGACGGACGGACGACGGGGAAGGACUCCCCGUAGCGCUGGGUACCGCUGCGAGGCGCGGGGUGGGGGGGGUUCCCCACCGGGGCGGUGGCAGACGGCCAGAGCCCCCACCAGCCUGGCGGCGGCCGCCGCCUCCCCGGAGCUGUCCGCCCGGCGGCUGCUGAUGGGCGGCCGGAGGAGAGGGGCUGGGCUGGAAGGCGGGGGCCCCGGAGCGGGGGGAGCCCCCCGCCUCGGCCAGCGAGGACAGCUUACAGAGGGCAGGUGAAGCAGCUCGGCGCCCGGUGCCCUCGGUCCCAGGAGGAUCUGAUCCCUUCCCCUCCAGCCUGCGCUUAGGCACCUCAGCUUGGAAGGGAAAUAACCUGGUCUUCAGGUCCAGAAACAACUAAAUAUCUUGUUCCUUUUCAUACCGUGAGGUCUCCACUGCUGCUCAGAAGAUGGAGCACUUUUUAUUUUUAGUAACAAUAUCUCUCAUGCUGGGAUGGAAGAAUCUUAAACCAAUUAAACACAUUAGAAGAUAACAGUGUGUGUGGGUUUGGUUCAAGAUCUCCAUUUUCUUCACUCUGGGAUAGUUUCCAGUCUCUUGGCUAGGAAGUACUGAGUACGAAGGGUGCACUGCCAUAAACCAGCAGAAAGAAACACCUGGAAAGGCAUUGGUUUGCAUGGCUUUAUCUCACAGAUCCCGCACUAUUCAGGCUGCUUGCCUUUACGCUGGUGACUCCUCGGAGCCACCCUGAUGAGCCAUGGAGCAGGAGACUGCUGAGGGGCCUCGGGCUUACUGACGGCUGUAUCCCUGUUCAAAAUGGCAUCGGGCAGGUGUGCAGGCUCCUUGUUCUGAUUUGUCGAUGUCUGAGAUGCUGUGAGAGACAUUUUUCAAAGGUGUACUUAAGAUCAUUAUUAAUUGUCGCUUUGAAAAUAUGCGUAUUUCAUACUUGCCUAUAACUUUAAUGGCUAGUUCACCUAUCUGGGCUUUUUGAAAGCUGGCACAGCCUCACUUGCUGAGAGUGAAAAGAGAUGACCUCUCUUUGCUUAGUAUUGGCAGCUGAAGAAUUCCCGUGAGUGGCAGUUAGUGGGUCAACAGCAAAAGCACAACCCUUGAGAUUAAUAUUUUGUAAACGAGGAAAACAAGCUCAAUCAGGUGUUAUUCUUUUUCUAAUGUUAUAUAGGAAGCACUUCUUUUUCUGGCAUUUUUCAAAUGCUGGAGAACAGCAAUUGUUUGUGUAGAAUUAUCUGUUAUUGUUAGCAAUGUUCUUGCUUCUCUGCAGCACAGUGACAUUGCCUUUAUCCUUUAGAAGCAAUGGAAAAUGAUAAAUUAGGUUAACAAGCUUCAGUCUAAAGUGAAAACUAAAUCUGUGACUAUACAACUCUUGUUGCAUUCAUUCUGGUCAAGGGUUGGUUUGUUCAUUUAUUUUCUGGGAAAAAGCAUCCCUUUUCCUUGACCUCCUGAGAACCAGAAAACAUGAUUGAAACUCAGCUGAAGUAGACUAUUUCAGGGCUUAGCAAAGAAUGCUGGGCACAGCAUUUAGGGAUGUAGAUAGCUUGUUUUCCUUAAUUGCU